UCCUCAGGUCAGGCCAGCACACAGACACCAGGACGGACGAGUGUUUCCUCCACACGUGAAGGUGGAAAGUGUCUCUACGUUGACCUGAAGUGAGUUCAGCAGAUAGACUUGGACAAGACGCCUGCAAGCUGCAGAUCUGACGGACAUUCACAGGAACAAUAUCAAAGUGUGUGUGAGCUGAUGUGGAUGUGAGUUCAGCAGCAUGAAUCAGUG